CGGGAUGCCGUCAGGGUCCCGCCAAUUGAGACGGGCACCGGUCGUGUCCGGUGCCGCUCGUAACCAUUUUGCUCCUAGGAGGAUCUGGCUAUGCGCA
rnacentral:sRNA from 1 species